ncrna:unclassified sequences c-di-GMP-II-GAG riboswitch
CGGCCACCGGGACGCAUGGAUCCUCGGACCGCACGACGGUCGCCCCCCCAGCUGCACCGCUGGGACGUCCGAGGGGAGCGAGUGGCGAGACCGACCCGGUCCG